GACCUCGGAUCAGGUAGGAAUACCCGCUGAACUUAAGCACAUCAAUAAGCGGAGGAAAAGAAACCAACAGGGAUUGCCCCAGUAACGGCGAGUGAAGCGGCAACAGCUCAAAUUUGAAAUCUGGCCCCUAGGGUCCGAGUUGUAAUUUGUAGAGGAUGCUUUUGGUGAGGUGCCGCCCGAGUUCCCUGGAACGGGACGCCGCAGAGGGUGAGAGCCCCGUCUGGCUGGCCACCGAGCCUCUGUAAAGCUCCUUCGACGAGUCGAGUAGUUUGGGAAUGCUGCUCAAAAUGGGAGGUAUAUGUCUUCUAAAGCUAAAUAUUGGCCAGAGACCGAUAGCGCACAAGUAGAGUGAUCGAAAGAUGAAAAGCACCUUGAAAAGAGGGUUAAACAGUACGUGAAAUUGUUGAAAGGGAAGCGCUUGUGACCAG
rnacentral:rRNA from 1 species